CAGCAGCCCGAGUGGUGGUCGUUUUUAUUGGGCCUAAAGCGUCCGUAGCCGGUCUAGUAAAUCCUUGGAUAAAUCGUACAGCUUAACUGUACGGCUCCCGGGGAGACUGCUAGACUUGGGACUGGGAGAGGUCGGAGGUACUCCAGGGGUAGGGGUGAAAUCUUGUAAUCCUUGGGGGACCACCAGUGGCGAAGGCGUCCGACUAGAACGGGUCCGACGGUAAGGGACGAAGCCCUGGGGCGCGAACCGGAUUAGAGACCCGAGUAGUCC
rnacentral:rRNA from 1 species